rfam:Triticum urartu cultivar G1812 contig782018, whole genome shotgun sequence.
GACGUACUCCCUCCGUUCCAAAUUACUUGUCGCAGGUAUGAAUGUAUCUAGAUGUAUUUUAGUUCUAGAUACGUCCAUUUUUGCGACAAGUAAUUUGGAAUGGAGGAAGUACCUA